AAUGGACGAAAGUCUGACGCAGCAACGCCGCGUGAGUGAAGAAGGCCUUCGGGUUGUAAAGCUCUGUCGCCCGGGACGAAAAUACUUUGAGUGAAUAGCUCAAGGAGUUGACGGUACCGGGAGAGGAAGCACCGGCUAACUCUGUGCCAGCAGCCGCGGUAAUACAGAGGGUGCAAGCGUUGCUCGGAAUUAUUGGGCGUAAAGGGCAGGUAGGUGGUCUCGUUUGUCUGGGGUGAAAUCCUUGAGCUUAACUCAAGAAGUGCCCCGGAAACGGCGGGACUGGAGUCCUAGAGAGGGUCGUGGAAUUCCCGGUGUAGCGGUGAAAUGCGUAGAGAUCGGGAGGAACACCAGAGGCGAAGGCGGCGACCUGGAUAGGUACUGACACUCAACUGCGAAAGCGUGGGUAGCAAA
rnacentral:rRNA from 1 species